rfam:Hordeum vulgare subsp. vulgare, WGS project CAJW01000000 data, contig: morex_contig_1583535
AAUAACCAAAUAUAACACUGGGACUAAGGGUCAAAUUGGUAAUUUUUCUUACAUCUCCCCCCCCAGGGGCCCAGGUAUCAUAUAC